ACAUGCCUACAUCAUAGCAUUAAUUCACCCGAUCCCAUUAGAAAUCCGUAGUUAAGCACACUCAUGCUAGAAUAGUACUGGGAUGGGUGACUGCCUAGGAAGUCCUAGUGUUUUACAUGAC
rnacentral:rRNA from 1 species